GACGAACGCUGGCGGCGUGCCUAAUACAUGCAAGUAGAACGCUGAAGAGAGGAGCUUGCUCUUCUUGGAUGAGUUGCGAACGGGUGAGUAACGCGUAGGUAACCUGCCUUGUAGCGGGGGAUAACUAUGGGAAACGAUAGCUAAUACCGCAUAACAAUGGAUGACACAUGUCAUUUAUUUGAAAGGGGCAAUUGCUCCACUACAAGAUGGACCUGCGUUGUAUUAGCUAGUAGGUGAGGUAAUGGCUCACCUAGGCGACGAUACAUAGCCGACCUGAGAGGGUGAUCGGCCACACUGGGACUGAGACACGGCCCAGACUCCUACGGGAGGCAGCAGUAGGGAAUCUUCGGCAAUGGGGGCAACCCUGACCGAGCAACGCCGCGUGAGUGAAGAAGGUUUUCGGACCGUAAAGCUCUGUUGUAAGUCAAGAACGGGUGUGAGAGUGGAAAGUUCGCACUGUGACGGUAGCUUACCAGAAAGGGACGGCUAACUACGUG
rnacentral:rRNA from 1 species